rnacentral:rRNA from 1 species
GCUUUAUACAUGCAAGUCGAACGAUGAAGUUCCUUCGGGAAUGGAUUAGUGGCGAACGGGUGAGGAACACGUGAGAAACCUGCCUUUCAUUCUGGGAUAACACCGGGAAACCGGUGCUAAUACCGGAUACUCCAUCUUGGCGGCAUCGCCGAGCUGGGAAAAAAUUUUGAUGAAAGAUGGUCUCGCGGCCUAUCAGCUAGUUGGUGAGGUAAAGGCUCACCAAGGCGACGACGGGUAGCCGGCCUGAGAGGGCGACCGGCCACACUGGGACUGAGACACGGCCCAGACUCCUACGGGAGGCAGCAGUAGGGAAUAUUGGGCAAUGGGCGAAAGCCUGACCCAGCGACGCCGCGUGAGGGAUGAAGGUCUUCGGAUUGUAAACCUCUUUCAGUAGGGAAGAAGCGAAAGUGACGGUACCUAAAGAAGAAGCACCGGCUAACUAUGUGCCAGCAGCCGCGGUAAUACAUAGGGUGCAAGCGUUGUCCGGAAUUAUUGGGCGUAAAGAGCUCGUAGGUCGUUUGUCGCGUCGAUUGUGAAAAUCUGAGGCUCAACCUCAGACCUGCAGUCGAUACGGGCAAACUAGAGUGUGGUAGGGGAGACUGGAAUUCCUGGUGUAGCGGUGGAAUGCGCAGAUAUCAGGAGGAACACCAAUGGCGAAGGCAGGUCUCUGGGCCAUAACUGACACUGAGGAGCGAAAGUGCGGGGAGCGAACAGGAUUAGAUACCCUGGUAGUCCGCACCGUAAACGGUGGGCACUAGUUGUGGGAACCUUCCACGGUUUCCGCGACGCAGCAAACGCA